rnacentral:lncRNA from 1 species
UUGAUUUUUAUUUUUUGAGGAAACUCCAUACAGAUUUCUACAGUGGCCACAGCAGUGUACGCCCACCAGCAGUGCCUACGUGUCCCUCUUUUUUCACAUCCCUGCCAGCAUUUCUGCCCGUUCAUUUUGUUGACGAUGUCUACUCUGAUGGGGUGAGAAGGUCUAUUAAUGUGAUUUCAGUUUGCAUUUCCCUCCUGGUUCAGGAUAUUGACUGGCUUUGGAAUGUUUAUUGGAUGUUUGUAUUUCUGCUUUUAAGAAUGGUGUCAUUCAUUUGUCCAUUUAUGGAGUGGAUGAUUUGUUUGCUAAUUUUUGUGGUGAUAGUAUUUAAUUCAGAGGAGUCUCCGCAGAUGCUGGGUAUCAGUCCCCUUCUGAUGUACAGCUGUAGAUCUCUGGUUUUAUAGGCUCCCACUUUACCCUGACAACUCUUGGCAUCGUGGUGCAGAAGCUUUGAAAUGUCAUAUGAUCUUGUUUGUCAGAUCUCAAGAUUAUUUCCUGAGCUUCUGGAGUUCUUCCCAGCAACACCUCUCCUAUACUAAGCUGACUCUCAAGGGUCCCCCAAGUUUCCCCUUGGUAGUUUCUGAGUUUGGGAUCGUCCGUUAAGGUCUUUAUCCAUUUUGAUUCAACAUUUGUACAGAUGAAGAAAUAAGGGGUUUAUUUCUGUGUGGAAAUCUAGGAUGAAUGAAAGGGGAGGAGGGUUGUGAAGAGUGAGAGAGAACAUAAAUUUGAUUGGACAGUAAAUAAAAUGCAUACAUAAAAUUAAAUGAAAAACAAUAACAUCACCAAAGCUCCCAUCCCCUCUCUCUGUCUCUCUAAGAGUCAAAGUAUUUGUAAGAGUGUAGUGUAAAGAAAAAAGGGAAACAUAAGGGGCAAAGAAAAUGGAUUUUGGAGCGUUUGUUUCUGGGUCUUCUAAAGUGCCAUCCUCCAGGCAGACAGACAGAGAUACGGUCAGUUGCCCUUGUGAACUGUCUUUCCUAUGCCCCGGCUGGCUGCUGAGCCUUUCUGGACAGUGCCCACCAGCACUGUCUUCACUUCAGGAGAUUCUAUUUUUUGCCCACCAGAGGCCUCUGCUGGACACACUUGGCUCUUCAGUCUGUUGGGCCAAGCAGGUUCUUCCAUUCUCCAGAGAAGCCAUUACCCUCCGGGCUGGCUAAGGUUCUAACGGGAGUGUUCUAUUCUCAGCACACUUCGAAGGACUAGAGAAAGACAGUGCUGGACAGGCAGAUCUGUUUGUGUCCUUCUAAACUCCAGGAGUAUUUAAACAGCCUGCUAGAGAGACCGGCCUUUGUGUCACCUGACCAGCUUCAGAGUUCUAAGAGUUCUGGCUCCAGCGGUUAAACCGGUUAAACCGCCUGCUGAUCUCAAGUUGGAGCUUUCUGCAGUGAUGAAGUCAUCUCUGAGAGCUAAGCACUCCACUGCCCAAGCUGAGACUUCCACUGCGUGGACGUAUUUUUGGCUUGUCAGCAUCUGGCCCAUCCCACUCGGUGACUGCUUGAGGUGGCCACGUCUCACUCUGGAGCUGUCACAGGCUAGGCCAAGCUAAGUCACAUGGUACGGAACUUCCUCAUACCCCUUUGCAAAUCGGAGUCAGAAACCCCUCGGUGUGUGGGAUUUGAGGCUCUUUCCUUCGGACUCCCUGCCACAUGGCGGCUGUCUCACAGAUCCUCCGGGCUUUGAAGACUCUCUCCCUUCAGGAAAGCAUCGAGCUGUCUGGUGUGAAGCUCUUUAGAACUCUCCAGCCUCAAGUCUCCAGCAUGCCCUGCCCCAUCUCCAAAAUCUCUCUUCCAAUAAAGCCUGAUCUGAAAGGAAAUGGGAGAGAUCCACUAAGUAGACUGAGAGAAGAUAAAGGCGGUGAUGGUGCUGAUGAUGGUAGUGAUGAUAAUGGUGAUGAUGAUCAUGAUCAUGAUGGCGAUGAUGCUGAUGAUGGCAAUGAUGAGGAACUGCUGCUUGUUCAUCAGCCGUGAGAACAAAAGAGAAGCUCAGCUAUCAGCCUGCAGAGGGUGUGGCCCAGCAUGAUAAUGGGGUUGUGGAAAGCAGGUCCUCGUGGUGUGUCUCUCCGGGGCUGCAUCGCUGGGAAUGUGUUCAAUCUGUCUGCCCUUAUUAGUCUAAUCAGGUGGGCGAUCAAUACUGCCUUCAAUUAUUUCUACCUACGAUGUCUGCCUGUCUUCGAGGGAGAGCAUGCUGCC